GAUGAACGCUGGCGGCGUGCCUAAUACAUGCAAGUCGAGCGGACGGACGAGAAGCUUGCUGCUCUGAUGUUAGCGGCGGACGUGUGAGUAACACGUGGAUAACCUCCCUAUCAUACUGGUAUAACUUCGGGAAACCGGAGCUAAUACCAGAUAAUCUUUUGCACCGCAUGGUUCAAUAGUGAAUGACGGUCUUUCUGUCUCUUCUAGAUGGAUCCGCGCUUCUUUAGCUAGUUGGUAAGGUAACGGCUUACCAAGGCUACGAUGCAUAGCCGACCUGAGAGGGUGAUCGGCCACACUGGAACGGAGACGCGGUCCAGACUCCUACGGGAGGCAGCAGUAGGGAAUCUGCCGCAAUGGGCGGAAGCCUGACGGAGCAACGCCGCGUGAGUGAUGAAGGUCUUCGGAUCGUAAAACUCUGUUAUUAGGGAAGAACAUAUGUGUAAGUAAAUGUGCACAUCGUGACGGUACCUAAUCAGAAAGCCACGGCUAACUACGUG
rnacentral:rRNA from 1 species